rnacentral:rRNA from 1 species
UACGGAGGGUGCAAGCGUUAUCCGGAUUUACUGGGGUUAAAGGGUGUGUAGGCGGUCUUUUAAGUCAGCGGUGAAAUCUCCGGGCUCAACCCGGAAACUGCCAUUGAUACUAUGAGUCUUGAAUGUUGUUGAGGUGGGCGGAACGGGUCAUGUAGCGGUGAAAUGCAUAGAUAUGAUCAAGAACACCAAUUGCGUAGGCAGGCUGCUAGGACUGAGUUGACGCUGAGGCACGAGAGCAUGGGGAGCAAACAGG